rnacentral:rRNA from 1 species
UACGGAGGGUGCGAGCGUUGUCCGGAAUCACUGGGCGUAAAGGGCGCGUAGGCGGCGCGGGAAGUCCAUGGUGAAAGCCCGAGGCUCAACUUCGGGUCGGCCAAGGAUACUCCCGGGCUCGAGCACUGUAGAGGCAGGUGGAAUUCCGGGUGUAGCGGUGGAAUGCGUAGAUAUCGAGAGGAACACCAGAGGUGAAGACGGGUUGCUGGGCCGACACUGACGCUGACAGCGCGAAAGCCAGGGGAGCAAACGGG